rnacentral:rRNA from 1 species
UACGAAGGGGGCCAGCGUUGCUCGGAAUUACUGGGCGUAAAGGGCGCGUAGGCGGAUAGUUAAGUCAGAGGUGAAAGCCCAGGGCUCAACCUUGGAAUUGCCUUUGAUACUGGCUAUCUUGAGUAUGGGAGAGGUGUGUGGAACUCCGAGUGUAGAGGUGAAAUUCGUAGAUAUUCGGAAGAACACCAGUGGCGAAGGCGACACACUGGCCCAUUACUGACGCUGAGGCUCGAAAGCGUGGGGAGCAAACAGG